GACGAACGCUGGCGGCGUGCUUAACACAUGCAAGUCGAACGGUAAGGCCCUUCGGGGUACACGAGUGGCGAACGGGUGAGUAACACGUGGGUGAUCUGCCCUGCACUUCGGGAUAAGCCUGGGAAACUGGGUCUAAUACCGGAUAGGACCACUGCCUGCAUGGGUGGUGGUGGAAAGCUUUUGCGGUGUGGGAUGGGCCCGCGGCCUAUCAGCUUGUUGGUGGGGUGAUGGCCUACCAAGGCGACGACGGGUAGCCGGCCUGAGAGGGUGACCGGCCACACUGGGACUGAGGUACGGCCCAGACUCCUACGGGAGGCAGCAGUGGGGAAUAUUGCACAAUGGGCGCAAGCCUGAUGCAGCGACGCCGCGUGAGGGAUGACGGCCUUCGGGUUGUAAACCUCUUUCAGCUAUGACGAAGCGCAAGUGACGGUAGUAGCAGAAGAAGGACCGGCCAACUACGUGCCAGCCGCCGCAGUAA
rnacentral:rRNA from 1 species